GCUCGAGCGUGACGAGGAAGUCGACGCUGCCCGCGUCGUCGACCGUCACGAAUCCGAGGUUCGGCGGUUCGACGCCGUAGUCCGACCA
rnacentral:tRNA from 1 species